AGUGAACGCUGGCGGUAGGCCUAACACAUGCAAGUCGAACGGCAGCACAGGAGAGCUUGCUCUCUGGGUGGCGAGUGGCGGACGGGUGAGGAAUACAUCGGAAUCUACUCUGUCGUGGGGGAUAACGUAGGGAAACUUACGCUAAUACCGCAUACGACCUAGGGGUGAAAGCAGGGGACCUUCGGGCCUUGCGCGAUUGAAUGAGCCGAUGUCGGAUCAGCUAGUUGGCGGGGUAAAGGCCCACCAAGGCGACGAUCCGUAGCUGGUCUGAGAGGAUGAUCAGCCACACUGGAACUGAGACACGGUCCAGACUCCUACGGGAGGCAGCAGUGGGGAAUAUUGGACAAUGGGCGCAAGCCUGAUCCAGCCAUACCGCGUGGGUGAAGAAGGCCUUCGGGUUGUAAAGCCCUUUUGUUGGGAAAGAAAUCCAGCUGGCUAAUACCCGGUUGGGAUGACGGUACCCAAAGAAUAAGCACCGGCUAACUUCGUGCCAGCAGCCGCGGUAA
rnacentral:rRNA from 1 species